UCCCAGUUUUCCUUCAAUGACUCCAGUGCUGAAGACAUAUAAAACCCAUACCAUUUCCCUAGAUGAUUUCUUGACAAAAUGUAAAUUUCAUUAUAGUUGGGAAUCUAUUUCUAUACUUCUCAGCCACCUAGUAGGAGGAGGUCUGAAUCAUCACAGUAAAGAAUACAUUAGAAAAAUGCUUAGACAGGAGAAAAGGUCUCCCCAGGACUCCUGUGAACUCCCUCUGCAUUUACAACCCAUUGGGUUAGUCAUUAGCAGGAAAUGUGCUGCAUAAACUAUACAAUAGAAUUGAGAUUUCAUUUUUAAAACCAAUUCAUUACUCUAUUAAAAUUGAUUGCCAGGUGUGGUGGCACACGCCUUUAAUCCCAGCACUCGGGAGGCAGAGGCAGGCGGAUUUCUGAGUUCGAGGCCAGCCUGGUCUUCAAAGUGAGUUACAGGACAGCCAGGACUACACAGAGAAACCCUGUCUCGAAAAACCAAAAAAAAAAAAAUUUAUUGUGUGUGUGUGUGUGUGUUGUACAUGUGUGUGAGCAGGGGUCCUUGUGUAUAUGUGUGCUUGUGUGCAUGUUCAUGCAUGUUAAGGUCAGAGGAACACUUGUGGGAUUUUGUUCUUUCCUUCUGCCAUGUAUCCACACCCCAGGGAUAAAACUCAGGCUGUAAGGCUUAGUUGCAAGCAGCUUGACCUGCUGAGACACCUCAAGGACCCAACUCAUCGUUAUUCUUAUCUCUGAGAACUUGUGAGCUAUGGUAAGAAAACUGUUAGUCGAGGGUCAAGAGCAUCUGCAUUUUAUUGUGGUUCCAAUUCGGUAACCAUCUGGUUUCCCGGUAAAUGGCAUUGACCUUCCCUGGACCCUAGUUGUGUCGAUUGUCAAACCACAUGGGUUGUUAAAAUUUUUCUUCCAAUUUGAAAGUUGCUGCUCCUGGGUUAUUCAUCUGAGAACAAUGCCCAUAUAGAAUACUCCUGACAGAAAAGUAUUCCGUCUCUCCUUUCUCCUUCCACUGCCAAGUGUAAUGAAGAGUCAGUGUGGAAAAAAUAUAUUCUGCUGUGAAAAGGUCCAUUCAGCCUUUCUUAAUAGAUCAAGUGGUUGGUAUUUCUGCUGGCUCCUGAAGGCCAUUACAAAUCACAGUCUGGAGAAAGCUGCAAAGCAGCGCCCAGCCUUCCUGCUGAAUUUGGAUACAUCCUUAGCCUCCUGCUGAAUUUGGAUACAUCGUCAGCCUUAGGUCUCGCUCUGCAGUUCAUCCUUAACAACUGACCAAAUAUUUACUUUGCUCAGGACCGAAAGGGGUAACAUUUUCCAAAAUAUUAAACUAGGUUGGAUUCAGAACACAGACAAUGAGGCAAAAAGUUGGACCUCUCUCACAAGUCAUGCCGUUGAAUCAUUUUCCAGAGUGCCAUGAGAAACCAGCCUUGGUGCAUGCUUGUGCUCCAUUGUCGCUCUGCACACAGCAGCAGACAGCGUGCCUUACACACAGCCUGCAGUGUAACCAGUGGCUCUGGGAGUGAGGUGCCUGGACCAGGAGCAUCACAUUUCCCGGUCACUGGUUAGAGAUAGAUGUCCUCAGGGCCCAUCCCUGACCAAUUCCAUCAGAAGGUUCUAAGAUGUGACCCAGCUAUUUAGGCUGUUGCCAUGAGGAUCUGGGCACUUAGGCCUGCGUUUGAGAAUCUUUGACUGACAGGUGCUUAAUGUCUUUCAGCUUAAAGUAUGAAGCAAUGGCAAGACUUGUAAUUCAAGUCAUGGUAAACAAGGAACCCUUUUCUAAAGUAAACAAGUUUUAAAUCUGAGACUAUUGUUAUUUAUUUAUCUAUUGGUUUCCCUGAAACUAAACUAUGAGACCCAGGCUAGCCUUGAACUCAGCCAUCUUCCUUUGUUUCCUAGGUGCUGGAUGGCAGACAUGAAGCACCAUAGCCAGCCUGGGUGUUGCCUUUUAAAUGCUCCCCCUCCUUUGUUCCUCCAUCUCCAGGUUCCUUUCCCUCCCCCUUCAGAGUUCAUGGCGACAUCAUUUGAGACACAUUGUUUAUUCUUGAACAAUGAAAACACUGCCCUUUGUCUUGCCACACCUGGAAGAUGCUAGUGAUGUUGAUGUCUUUAAUUCUGUGUCUCCUAGGAUAAAAAAAUAGGGCAAAAAUUGAUUGAAUGUGGCUUAGAAUGUUCUAGUUUAUUAAUAAGUCUUCUCUCUAACAAAAUAUCUUAAAUAAAUAAAUUGAGGCUGGAGAGCUGGCUCAGUGGUUAAGAGCACUGACUGCUCUUCCAGAGGGUCCUGAGUUCAAUUCCCAGCAACCACAAGGUGGCUCACAACCAUCUGUAAUGGGAUCUGACGCCCUCUUCUCUUGUGUGUGAAGACAGCUACAGUGUAUUCAUAUAAAAUAAAUAAAUCUUUUAAAAAAUUAAAUAAAUUAUAAUUUUAUUUUCAAUUGAAUUAUCAGAAAAUAUUCUAGCUGUG
rnacentral:lncRNA from 1 species